UACGGAGGAUCCAAGCGUUAUCCGGAAUCAUUGGGUUUAAAGGGUCCGUAGGCGGUCUUGUAAGUCAGUGGUGAAAGCCCAUCGCUCAACGGUGGAACGGCCAUUGAUACUGCAGGACUUGAAUUAUUGGGAAGUAACUAGAAUAUGUAGUGUAGCGGUGAAAUGCUUAGAGAUUACAUGGAAUACCAAUUGCGAAGGCAGGUUACGACCAAUUUAUUGACGCGGAUGGACGAAAGCGUGGGUAGCGAACAGG
rnacentral:rRNA from 1 species